ensembl:snRNA U4 U4 spliceosomal RNA
AGCUUUGCUCAUUGGCAGUAUUGUAGCCAAUGAAGUUUAUCUGAGGCACAAUUAUUGCUAAAAAUGGACAUCUUAUCAGAUCCCUUCUGUGAGAACUUGGAGUGAACUCC